UCUUUGGUUGUACAAAGUGGUAUGGCUCUCUUGCUCAUACCGCUUUACAGCUAAAGGAA
rnacentral:pre_miRNA from 1 species